UAAAAACAAAAUUAGUUUUGUCGAUGGCACAUGCUCCCGACCAGCCAUUAAUGUGGCUCAACAAAGGUUAUGGGAUAGGUGCAAUAACAUGGUGAUUUCUUGGUUAACUGCUUCCCUCUCCCCUCAAAUUGCUGAAAGUGUCGGUAUUCUGAUACUGCACGGAGUAUAUGGUCCCAACUCCAGGCCAGAUAUGGCACUGCAAACAGGACCAAAAUCUUUGAAUUGACAAGAGAGCUUUCUCACACCUCCCAAGGAUCCUUAGAUGUAGCUUCAUAUUUUAAUAAGCUCAAAGGUCUGUGGGAUGAACUAGAAUCAAUGUGUGUUAAUCAUGGUCAAAGAUGUGUUUGUGCUGCCAAAGAUGGUAUAAUACAGGAAAGUGACGAAAAUAAGGUUUUUCAGCUUUUACUAGGUCUUAAUGAAGCAUACAUGGGGGUAAGGAGUAAUCUUUUGAUGAUGCAGCCUCCUCCAUCUCUUAACAACGUCUAUAAUAUGGUCCUCAAUGAUGAGAAACAGAGACAAGUCCAGUCUCCUUCUCACUUUAAUCCAGACUCUGUCUCUUUCAAUGUCCAUACUAAUAGGCAGCCUGUUGGAUUUAACAAGACCACAGUGCCUAGUCCUUCUUUACCUUUCAGACAAAGAGUCAAUUUUGAUCAAGCCGGAGGACCUUAUAGAUACUGCAAAAAAUCUGGACACUUAAUUGAUAAGUGUUUCAAGAUCCAUGGGUAUCCACAAAGGACCUUUAUUCUGUAGAUACUGUAAAAAAUCUGGACACUUAAUUGAUAAGUGUUUCAAGAUCCAUUGGUAUCCACAAAGUACAAAUUUUAACAAGGGGAGGAGACCUGCUGCUGCUCAUCUUUAGUGCUGGUCUGGAUUUCCCUCAUUCUGAUGGACAUGUGUCUGUUCCCCAAGGGAAUCCUCCUGAAAGCCAUCAAUCUGCUCCAAAGAUAGAUGGCCAGAGUUCUGUGAUACCAGGGUUGAGCAGACAACAGUAUGACCAGUUGAUGAAUUUAUUACAACAGACCCAGUUAAGGGACUCCACUGCUCAGACUCCUCCUCCCAUGUAUGCUGCUAACUUUGCUGGUACUAUGCUAACUGAGAGCCCUAUUUCUGAUUCCAAGCUUUACAUGCUUACCCAUAUUAAUUUUGCCACCUGGAUAAUAGACUCAGGGGCAUCUAAUCAUAUGACAUAUGAUAAAAGUUUACUCUUCAACAUAACACCUUUAACUACAUCCUACAUUGUAACUCUCCCUAAUGGAAGUACUAUGUUAACUGAGAACCCUAUUUCUGAUUCCAAACUCUGCCUACUUACUACUGUUAAUUCUGUCACCUGGAUUAUAGAUUCAGGUGCCUCUAAUCACAUGACACAUGAUAAACAGUUACUUUUUAACAUCACACCUUUAACUCUGCCAUAUCUUGUCACUCUUCCUAAUCGCUAUAAAGUGAAAGUAACAUGCACAGGCUCUUUUGCAUUGAAUCCUUCCAUCACUCUUCACAAUGUACUGCUAG
rnacentral:lncRNA from 1 species